rnacentral:rRNA from 1 species
GACACGACUCUUGGAAUGGAUAUCUCGGCUCUUGCAUUGAUGAAGAGCGCAGUGAAAUGCUAUACGUGGUGCGAAUUGCAGAAUCCCGCGAAC